GGAAACUCACCAGGUCCAGAUGAAAUAAGGAUUGACAGAUUGAGAGCUCUUUCUUGAUUUUUCAGGUGGUGGUGCAUGGCCGUUCUUAGUUCGUGGGGUGACUUGUCUGCUUAAUUGCGAUAACGAGCGAGACCUUACUCUGCUAAAUAGCCAGGCUAACUUUGGUUGGUCGCCGGCUUCUUAGAGAGACUAUCAACUCAAGUUGAUGGAAGUUUGAGGCAAUAACAGGUCUGUGAUGCCCUUAGAUGUUCUGGGCCGCACGCGCGCUACACUGACAGAGCCAACGAGUUCUUUUCCUUGUUCGAAAGAAUUGGGUAAUCUUGUUAAACUCUGUCGUGCUGGGGAUAAAGCAUUGCAAUUAUUGCUUUUCAACGAGGAAUGCCUAGUAAGCGCGUGUCAUCAGCAUGCGUUGAUUACGUCCCUGACCUUUGUACACACCGCCCGUCGCUACUACCGAUUGAAUGGCUCAGUGAGGCCUUCGGACUGGCUCGAGGAGGUUGGCAACGACCACCUCAAGCCGGAAAGUUCGUCAAACUCGGUCAUUUAGAGGAAGUAA
rnacentral:rRNA from 1 species